GAAUUUGGCAUGGCGCGUAUUGUCUUUUUCUCCACGAACGGCCCAUCGAGCGUCGCUAUCACGAAUAUUUUCAAAUUCCAAAGAAAGAUUCUCGCCGCUCAAACGGAAAAACGGGGACGAAUAGACGAUUAAAAGGUUUCCGGGGUAUCCACAAGACACAGACGAACGAGAACGCGAAAGAACAGAGACGCGUCAAGGAUAGUGAACUGAUAGAAACAAGGAGUGUGAGAGAAUGGAGACAACAACUCCCUGUAGAAACAAACAGGAAGAAAGCUCUGCUAGCACGGUAGAUCACUGGAAACCGCACUCCCGGUAUGACAAGCGACGCGAAUAUUUCCGCACCGUCCCCGAGAAGGAUGUGCUUUGAAUACUCUCAACCACAAGUUGCAAACAGACAUAUUAUUUUAUACACGCAAACGUCAAGGAUAUUCAAAUAAUAAGAACAGGAAUAGGCUCCUGACAUUCGACAUCGCCUAGAAAGAAUGUCGACGAGAAUCGAAGAGUUCAUGAUCAAUGUUAAAGAUUCCAGAUAAAUACUGCGUGACCAGUAUACAUUUUGUCAGAGGUUCACCAAAACACCCAGCAUAGUAAUCAAUCAUCUCCGCAUGCAUCUAUUGUAUGGUGCUUCACUAAAUUCAGCCAUCUGGAAACCACACGUUUUCAAAGUCAAUAACAGCAGCAAAAUCUAAAAAAAAAUACGCUAACACCACAUGGUAUUAAACACCUGGAGAUCUGGUUUGCCACGUGGUUAAACAAGACAUAACCUAAGAAAGCUAACCGAAGUGAGACAAAUAAAAAAAAAUUAUCUGAACACGAACUUCUAGCUACCCAAAAUGAGCUUAAAAGAUAUUUCCGCAGCCGUAUGGAAAUAAAGCAAUUAUAAAUAAUUUCAUUAAUUACAAUCAAGUGGGGAAGUAGUCAAAACAGGUUCUCUCAAAAGACUUUUAAGUCGUAAAAAAAGUAACGAGAAAGCCAAGCAAUGUCUUUUUAUAAACCAUAUAUUUAUAAGUGUGUAUCAGUUGCGUGCGGUAUUGAAACACUAUAAUAAUAAUCAUGUGAUAAUUAUAUUAUUUAAUUAUCUAAAAAAAACUAUUCCACCUA